rnacentral:rRNA from 1 species
UACGUAGGAAGCGAGCGUUGUCCGGAGUUACUGGGCGUAAAGGGUGCGCAGGUGGCCGUGCGCGUGGGGAGUGAAAUCGCCUGGCUUAACUGGGCGGGGGCUUUCCAGACGGCGCGGCUUGAGCCACAGAGGGGGGCGUGGAAUUCCGGGUGGAGCGGUGAAAUGCGUAGAGAUCCGGAGGAACACCGACGGCGUAGGCAGCGCCCUGGCUGUGAAUAAAGCUGACACUGAGGCACGAAAGCUGGGGGGAGCAAACAGG